GCCGGGCGAGGUGGUGUGCGCCUGCAGUCCCAGCUACUCGGGAGGCUGAGGCAGGAGAAUGGCGGGAACCCGGGAGGCGGAGCUUGCAGUGAGCCGAGAUCGCACCACUGCACUCCAGCCUGGGCUACAGAGUGAGACUCGGCCUCAAAAAAAAGAAAAAAAAAAGAAAAACAAAACUCUGGAUGAAAUGGAUGAUUUUUUUUUUUUUUUUUUUGAAGCAGAGUCUCGCUCUGUGGCCCAGGCUGGAGUGCAGUGGUGUGAUCUCAGCUCACUGCAAGCUCCGCCUCCCGGAUUUACUCCAUUCUCCUGCCUCAG
rnacentral:SRP_RNA from 1 species